AUGACGCUGGCGGUAGGCUUACACUGCGGUUAAUGCGAGAAAGUAUCUUCGGACAUGAGUAGAGCGGCGGACGGGUGAGUAACGCGUAGGAAUCUACCUAGUAGAAGGGGAUAGCCCGGGGAAACUCGGAUUAAUACCGUAUACCUCCUUUGGGAGAAAGAAGGCCUCUCUUUGAAGCUUUCGCUAUUAGAUGAGCCUGCGUAAGAUUAGCUUGUUGGUGAGGUAAAGGCUCACCAAGGCGACGAUCUUUAGCGGGUCUGAGAGGACGAUCCGCCACAUUGGGACUGAGACACGGCCCACGACUCCUACGGGAGGCAGCAGUGGCGGAAUAUUGGACAACUGGGCGCCAGCCAGCAUCCAGCCAUACCGCGCUGUGUGACGCAAGCGCCCUACGGUUGUACACGCACUUU
rnacentral:rRNA from 1 species